UGGGGAAUUUUGCACAAUGGGGGAAACCCUGAUGCAGCGACGCCGCGUGAUUUAGAAGGCCUUCGGGUUGUAAAAAUCUUUUCUAUGGGAAGAAAAUGACAGUACCAUAGGAAUAAGGACCGGCUAAUUACGUGCCAGCAGCCGCGGUAAUACGUAAGGUCCGAGCGUUGUCCGGAAUCAUUGGGCGUAAAGGGUACGUAGGCGGGUAAGCAAGUUAGAAGUGAAAUCCUAUAGCUCAACUAUAGUAAGCUUUUAAAACUGCUCAUCUUGAGGUAUGGAAGGGAAAGUGGAAUUCCUAGUGUAGCGGUGAAAUGCGUAGAGAUGUGGAGGAAUACCGGUGGCGAAGGCGGCCCCCUGGACGAAGACUGACGCUCAGGUGCGAAAGCGUGGGGAGCAAACAGG
rnacentral:rRNA from 1 species